AAAGCAGACUGUUCUGAUUGGCUGGGUGAAGUUGACAUCACAAAGCAUUAGUGACUGUCAGAGUAGGAUGACCGGGUUAGCUGGAUAACUGCCUUGAACCAGCUCUUUACCCAUGUCCAUGUUCUGGAUUUGGAGGUUUCUGGUGCUUGCUUGGGAGUUACCCAGCCAACUGCAGUCCUACUCUGAUCAGAGUCCGAGUGAAUCUGUACUUGAGCUCGACUGAACCCUGUUUGGUUAACCUUACCCUUCACACAGUAUCCCCCUAGUCUUAAGUGCUCAACUUAAUUGACUUUCUAUCCACUGGUCAAACCUUAAAAUGGCUUCUGACUAAAGUUCAGUGCCACCUGCAGUUAAAAUGGCUGCUUCACACCCACUGGGUUAAAUGUUGGAAUGCUGGAAUUCAGGGUCCAGCAUGAUGCAGGUCUGCCCAAUUCCUGGACCAGAAUGCUUUGCCUGUGGGCUUGAGCCAUUUGGGUGGACUCUGUUCAGGAUGGUUUGCGCUUUGUGAUGCCGAGUUCUAAGCCAGUCUGUUAAUGCCAGGUCGAGCAGUCCCUGGCCACGUUUCUGCGCAAAUGAUGAUCUUACUCUUGAACUCUCUCACUGAGCAGUUGAUGACAGUUAAGAAUUCUGAUCUUGUGCGGUUCAGGACGUGUUCGUUUGUGCGCUCUUGUCUUGGCUAAUUUGAAUUCCCGUUCCCUUUCAGGUCUGGAGUCGCCUGUU